AUGAAGGAGGACCUCGAUGCCAAUGACGGCAGGGUGUGGGAUGUGGACUGGUUUCGACCUGGCCAGCUCUCCUCUGGAGCCGUACGCCCAUGGUGCCACGGAUCCCUGGCUCAGAGACUUUGUGAGGGGGAUAGUGAAUAGUUGGCCGGUCCAUCAAGGGGGGCCUGCACGUUGACGCGCCAGCGUUGGAGAAGGGUGUGCGCGUGGGCUUAUGGGUGAUGGCCUGGCACUAAUCGCUCCGCCGCGGUUGCCAAUGGUUUGCACUUGAGCCAGGUGAAGGCUUGGGAAGAAGACGAUGUUCACACUGUGUCCUGCGAAGAUGACGCAACCACCCAUAGAUACGAGGGAUUGUGCACUUGUUGUUGGGGAUGAUGGCAUUGUGGAUGCCUUUCACAAACCUGUUCCAGAUAUGGCAGUCGGAUAUCCCUUUGAAUUGGAAAAGUUCUAGAAGGAGAUGUCAAGCAACAAAAAAUGUUUGGAGAUGUUUCUGAAGAUGAAAUGGACUUGGAUAAAAUAUCAUCAUACAAAGUGCAAGAUAUACUUGCAGAGAAACAAGUGUAUUAGGUGAUGGAUUUGACACUUCUUGUUGGGGAUGAUGGCAUUGUGCCAAACUUCCACAAACUUGUUCCAGAUAUGGCAAUCGAAUAUCCCUUUGAGUUGGAUAAGUUUCAGAACGAGGUGGAGGACAUGCUUUAGAGAAGUUAUGCUGAAUUCCAUGGUCAAAUGAUUUGCCUCAGAAGGACAAAGCUGCUUCUG